rnacentral:lncRNA from 1 species
AGAAGGUGUGUCCACUAUUUUCCCAGUGGUGUAUGAAAGGCAGGCCAGCUCCUGAAGCCCAACGUUGUUCCUCAAGUUUUUUUUUGCCUGGUCUGUAUCAAAAGACAGAAUCUUGAUGACUAAGACAUUUUCUUUGGGCUUGGUCGAAGCCUUCCCCACUAAUAACAAGAACACCCAUGCCAUGGGAAAGAAGAUAUUAGAGGAAAGUUUCCCAAGAUUUGGCAUCUGUAAGGUACUUUCAUCAGACAAUGGCCCCUCCUUCAUUGUCCAGAACCCCCUCUAGCUCACUUGAAGGCCCUACAAUUGGUCAGAAAAGAUGCCUUGGAAAUGCUGAAACACAAUAAAAAACAAAAACAAAAACAAAAAAACAAAAAAACAUACUAACCAGGAACCAUCUUCGUGCCACAUAAAUUUCAAACAGAAGAUCCUGUCCGGGUCCGGUGCCACCAUUCUGGCAAACUUGAACUCAGAUCAAAAGGAUGCUCCCUGGUGCUUCUGACAAGCCCUGCUGCCGCACCUCCAGCAUGUAACCGCUUCUGGCCUGCCAUGGCCCACUGGCCUGGCACUGCACAGGAUCCCCCCUUUUUCCCUCCUCCCACUGGCAAGAGUCUCUUUCGUCUCAUUCAAGGGGCUUCUGAGGUUCUCAAUCUUACAAAUCCUAAAGCUGUGACCUCAGGUUGGCUUUAUUUUGCAGCUGGGCCAGAGGUUUAAUUUUCUAACUUAUAAAAUUAGAACUAU